rnacentral:rRNA from 1 species
UACGGAGGGAGCUAGCGUUGUUCGGAAUUACUGGGCGUAAAGCGCGCGUAGGCGGCUUUGUAAGUUAGAGGUGAAAGCCCGGAGCUCAACUCCGGAACUGCCUUUAAAACUGCAUCGCUUGAAUCCAGGAGAGGUGAGUGGAAUUCCGAGUGUAGAGGUGAAAUUCGUAGAUAUUCGGAAGAACACCAGUGGCGAAGGCGACUUACUGGUCCAUGACUGACGCUGAGGCUCGAAAGCGUGGGGAGCAAACAGG